AUGAGGAGGAAGAGGAUGGAGAUGAGGAGGAGGAGGAGGAGGAGGGAGGUGAUGGAGAGGAAGAGGAAGGAGAUGAAGAGGAGGAGGCUGAGGCAGCCACAGUAUAGGGGCAGCUGAAGAUGAUGAGGAUGAGGGUGCUGACAUCAAGCAGAAGAUCCAGGGGGGUGAUGACAAAGGAGAAGGUCAAGGAGACCUCUUCCUUCUCUGAUCUAAACGAGGUC